AUUGAACGCUGGCGGCAGGCCUAACACAUGCAAGUCGAGCGGAUGAAGGGAGCUUGCUCCUGGAUUCAGCGGCGGACGGGUGAGUAAUGCCUAGGAAUCUGCCUGGUAGUGGGGGAUAACGUCCGGAAACGGGCGCUAAUACCGCAUACGUCCUGAGGGAGAAAGUGGGGGAUCUUCGGACCUCACGCUAUCAGAUGAGCUUAGGUCGGAUUAGCUAGUUGGUGGGGUAAAGGCCUACCAAGGCGACGAUCCGUAACUGGUCUGAGAGGAUGAUCAGUCACACUGGAACUGAGACACGGUCCAGACUCCUACGGGAGGCAGCAGUGUGGAAUAUUGGACAAAGGGCGAAAGCCUGAUCCAGCCAUGCCGCGUGUGUGAAGAAGGUCUUCGGAUUGUAAAGCACUUUAAGUUGGGAGGAAGGGCAGUAAGUUAAUACCUUGCUUUUUUGACGUUACCAACAGAAUAAGCACCGGCUAACUUCGUG
rnacentral:rRNA from 1 species